rnacentral:rRNA from 1 species
UGAUGAAGGUUUUCGGAUCGUAAAGCUCUGUUGUUAGGGAAGAACAAGUGCAAGAGUAACUGCUUGCACCUUGACGGUACCUAACCAGAAAGCCACGGCUAACUACGUGCCAGCAGCCGCGGUAAUACGUAGGUGGCAAGCGUUGUCCGGAAUUAUUGGGCGUAAAGGGCUCGCAGGCGGUUUCUUAAGUCUGAUGUGAAAGCCCCCGGCUCAACCGGGGAGGGUCAUUGGAAACUGGGAAACUUGAGUGCAGAAGAGGAGAGUGGAAUUCCACGUGUAGCGGUGAAAUGCGUAGAGAUGUGGAGGAACACCAGUGGCGAAGGCGACUCUCUGGUCUGUAACUGACGCUGAGGAGCGAAAGCGUGGGGAGCGAACAGGAUUAGAUACCCUGGUAGUCCACGCCGUAAACGAUGAGUGCUAAGUGUUAGGGGGUUUCCGCCCCUUAGUGCUGCAGCUAACGCAUUAAGCACUCCGCCUGGGGAGUACGGUCGCAAGACUGAAACUCAAAGGAAUUGACGGGGGCCCGCACAAGCGGUGGAGCAUGUGGUUUAAUUCGAAGCAACGCGAAGAACCUUACCAGGUCUUGACAUCCUCUGACAACCCUAGAGAUAGGGCUUUCCCUUCGGGGACAGAGUGACAGGUGGUGCAUGGUUGUCGUCAGCUCGUGUCGUGAGAUGUUGGGUUAAGUCCCGCAACGAGCGCAACCCUUGAUCUUAGUUGCCAGCAUUCAGUUGGGCACUCUAAGGUGACUGCCGGUGACAAACCGGAGGAAGGUGGGGAUGACGUCAAAUCAUCAUGCCCCUUAUGACCUGGGCUACACACGUGCUACAAUGGACAGAACAAAGG